UCGAGAAUCAUUCACAAUGGGCGAAAGCCUGAUGGUGUGACGCCGCGUGGAGGAUGAAGGUCUUCGGAUUGUAAACUCCUGUCAAGUGAGAGUAAAGCCGGGCGUUAACUGCGUGCCGGUUUGAGAGUAUCACUAGAGGAAGAGACGGCUAACUCUGUGCCAGCAGCCGCGGUAAUACAGAGGUCUCAAGCGUUGUUCGGAAUCACUGGGCGUAAAGGGUGCGUAGGCCGCACGGUAAGUCAGAGGUGAAAUCCCGGAGCUCAACUUCGGAAUUGCCUCCGAUACUGCCGUGCUUGAGGACUGGAGAGGAGAUUGGAAUUCACAGUGGAGCAGUGAAAUGCGUAGAUAUUGUGAGGAACACUAGUGGCGAAGGCGAAUCUCUGGACAGUUCCUGACGCUGAGGCACGAAGGCCAGGGGAGCAAACGG
rnacentral:rRNA from 1 species